GACCCAGUGGCGAAAUCCAUCGCGCCCGUACCGAGUACCAGGCUGGUAGGAUCGCCAUAUCUGCGGGAGGUCCUUGUUCGAAUCAGGGUUGGGUCA